rnacentral:rRNA from 1 species
UACAGAGGUCUCGAGCGUUGUUCGGAUUCAUUGGGCGUAAAGGGCGCGUAGGCGGCGGGGUAAGCCUGGUGUGAAAUCUCGGAGCUCAACUCCGAAAUUGCACUGGAUACUGCUCUGCUAGAGGGCUGGAGAGGAGAUCGGAAUUCACGGUGUAGCGGUGAAAUGCGUAGAUAUCGUGAGGAAGACCAGUGGCGAAGGCGGAUCUCUGGACAGCUCCCUGACGCUGAGGCGCGAAGGCUAGGGGAGCAAACGGG